rnacentral:rRNA from 1 species
UGGGGAAUUUUGGACAAUGGGCGAAAGCCUGAUCCAGCAAUGCCGCGUGUGUGAAGAAGGCCUUCGGGUUGUAAAGCACUUUUGUCCGGAAAGAAAUCCUUGGCUCUAAUACAGUCGGGGGAUGACGGUACCGGAAGAAUAAGCACCGGCUAACUACGUGCCAGCAGCCGCGGUAAUACGUAGGGUGCAAGCGUUAAUCGGAAUUACUGGGCGUAAAGCGUGCGCAGGCGGUUUGCUAAGACCGAUGUGAAAUCCCCGGGCUCAACCUGGGAACUGCAUUGGUGACUGGCAGGCUAGAGUAUGGCAGAGGGGGGUAGAAUUCCACGUGUAGCAGUGAAAUACGUAGAGAUGUGGAGGAAUACCGAUGGCGAAGGCAGCCCCCUGGGCCAAUACUGACGCUCAUGCACGAAAGCGUGGGGAGCAAACAGGAUUAGAUACCCUGGUAGUCCACGCCCUAAAACGAUGUCAACUAGUUGUUGGGGAUUCAUUUCCUUAGUAACGUAGCUAACGCGUGAAGUUGACCGCCUGGGGAGUACGGUCGCAAGAUUAAAACUCAAAGGAAUUGACGGGGUCAUAGCUGUUUCCU